UACGUAGGGUGCGAGCGUUAAUCGGAAUUACUGGGCGUAAAGCGUGCGCAGGCGGUAAGUUAAGUCUGAUGUGAAAGCCCCGGGCUCAACCUGGGAACGGCAUUGGAAACUGGCUUGCUGGAGUGUGGCAGAGGGGGGUGGAAUUCCGCGUGUAGCAGUGAAAUGCGUAGAUAUGCGGAGGAACACCGAUGGCGAAGGCAAUCCCCUGGGCCUGCACUGACGCUCAUGCACGAAAGCGUGGGGAGCAAACAGG
rnacentral:rRNA from 1 species